rnacentral:rRNA from 1 species
GAUGAACGCUGGCGGCGUGCUUAACACAUGCAAGUCGAGCGGAGCACAUCGUUGGAAUCCUUCGGGAGGAAGAAGGUGUGGCUUAGCGGCGGACGGGUGAGUAACGCGUGGACAACCUGCCCUAUGCAGGGGGAUAACAUCCGGAAACGGGUGCUAAUACCGCAUAAGCGCACAGUACCGCAUGGUACGGUGUGAAAAGCUGAGGCGGCAUAGGAUGGGUCCGCGUUGGAUUAGGCAGUUGGCGGGGUAACGGCCCACCAAACCGACGAUCCAUAGCCGGCCUGAGAGGGUGGACGGCCACAUUGGGACUGAGACACGGCCCAG